UCUGAUUUAACCACGCUGUGCUUUGCUAGCAAACCUAAAACCGAAACAUUUGAGCUCUUUAGACCAAUAUUGUGUAUAUUACUCUUAGGGUUUUCAACAUAAUUCUGUUUACAUAUCUACUGCUUCAUUUAAACGUAAUUUGCUUGUUAACUUAGCAAAUGUGUUACAUUGAUACUGCACUAGGCUAAUCUCCCGGAGCAUAAACUCACUAAUCUAGACGGAGAAAGAAACUGGUGAAAGGAGGCAAAGAAGCUUGAAGAAUGAAUAAGGAGGCGAUCACAUUGAAACAAGAGGAUGAUAUUACAGUGAAAGAGGAAUAUGGGAACGAGGUUGUCAAAGUGGAAAAAGAGGUAGAAGCUUUCAGAAUCAAAAAGGAGGAAGAUGCCGUAAAAUUGAAAGAGGAGGAAGACCCCUUUAGAGUAAAAGAGGAUAUCUCAAAAGAGGAAGUCGUUUAGGGAGUGAAAAAUGAGACUGAAGAUCCGAUUACCACCAGAGCGAGACAUGACUAUGGUGGAUCCUCUGGGGAGCCUCAACAACAUCCUGAUGCUGACGAGGCAGAGAAGAGUCUCUCCAGAUCAGAACACCAGAUGGACAACGCUAGCCCCUUCUCCCUCCCGGAGUCCCCGUUUCGUACCUCUUCCGGUAGCACCUUACUGCUGGGUAGGAAGAGGUUGUCUGUGCUGCUGGUGGACUGCAGGAAAACAACGGGGCUGAGUGGAACUGUGAGAGGAGGAGAAGAAAAGAAAGGAUCAGAUUUGACACAUCAAAAAAUUGACCAGGAGAGUGACACUGAAGAAAUGGAUGAGGACUCUGUGGGUGACCAGAG